GCUAGAGAGAGGACCAACUUGUUAAUUACCCAAUUCAAAAAAGAUAAUAGGGAAAACUUGAAAAAAUCAGGUAUAAAUGAGGAAUAUAGCGAAAGAGAAAGUUUACUGGAGGAGGUGAUAGGUUUGAUGGAGGAAGAAGAGAGGAAAAAGGAUGCAGAUAAAGAAAAAACAGCUUCCCUAGAAAAGGCUUCCCUUGACAUUAGAAAAAGGGCAUAAGAAACCCUGACACCCACAAAAGAUUGUGAUGCAGAAGAAGCUAUUAGACCAAAGAAAUCAAAAUCAUCCAACAACAUUCUUUCUUAUCUGCAAGAAAAGAAGGAAGUAGAGAUGGAAAUAAGGAAAGAGGAGAUGGAAAUGAAGAAACAACAACUACAGUUUGAGAGGGAGAAAUUUGAGUUGGAGAAAAACGAGAGGAGACAGAGAAUGGAUAUUGAAAGACAGGAAAAGAUGAUGAUUUUUGAAAUGUUUAGAAUGCUCGCAGACAAGAACUGAAUUAGCUGAUAUUUUUGUGAAUAGGAAAAAUAAUUUUUUCUGAUAUUAUACAAAAUAUUGAUUACUCUAAAUUUGCUGUAAUUUUUCAUCAUCAUUGUGUCAUAU